AUCCCUUUUACUCCUUGCUUCUUCGUGACGAGUGGCGGACGGGUGAGUAAUGUCUGGGAAACUGCCUGAUGGAGGGGGAUAACUACUGGAAACGGUAGCUAAUACCGCAUAACGUCGCAAGACCAAAGAGGGGGACCUUCGGGCCUCUUGCCAUCGGAUGUGCCCAGAUGGGAUUAGCUAGUAGGUGGGGUAACGGCUCACCUAGGCGACGAUCCCUAGCUGGUCUGAGAGGAUGACCAGCCACACUGGAACUGAGACACGGUCCAGACUCCUACGGGAGGCAGCAGUGGGGAAUAUUGCACAAUGGGCGCAAGCCUGAUGCAGCCAUGCCGCGUGUAUGAAGAAGGCCUUCGGGUUGUAAAGUACUUUCAGCGGGGAGGAAGGGAGUAAAGUUAAUACCUUUGCUCAUUGACGUUACCCGCAGAAGAAGCACCGGCUAACUCCGUGCCAGCAGCCGCGGUAAUAUA
rnacentral:rRNA from 1 species